UACGGGGGGGGCAAGCGUUGUUCGGAAUUACUGGGCGUAAAGGGCUCGUAGGCGGCCAACUAAGUCAGACGUGAAAUCCCCAGGCUCAACCUGGGAACUGCGUCUGAUACUGGAUGGCUUGAAUUCGGGAGAGGGAUGCAGAAUUCCAGGUGUAGCGGUGAAAUGCGUAGAUAUCUGGAGGAAUACCGGUGGCGAAGGCAGCUCGCUGGGACGGUACUGACGCUGAGACGCGAAAGCGUGGGGAGCAAACAGG
rnacentral:rRNA from 1 species